AGGGCGCAUGGCGGAUGCCUUGGCUCUCGGAGGCGAUGAAGGACGUGAUAAGCUGCGAUAAGCUUUGGGGAGGUGCAAAUGACCUUUGAUCCAGAGAUUUCCGAAUGGGACAACCCAAUAUCUUGAAGAGGUAUUAUCCAACUUUGUUGGAGGCUAACGCAGGGAACUGAAACAUCUUAGUACCUGCAGGAAAAGAAAAUAAAUAAUGAUUCCCCUAGUAGUGGCGAGCGAACGGGGAUUAGCCCAAACCACCCAUGUUACGGCAUGUGUGGGGUUGUAGGACCACGCUCUCGCAAGACAGUUAUUGAGAAGAAACGACUGGAAAGUCGUGCCAUAGACGGUGAUAGCCCGGUAUUCUAAGGUAACCGAAGCGUAGUGGUAUCCUGAGUAGCGCGGAGCACGAGGAAUUCUGCGUGAACCAGCCGGGACCAUCCGGUAAGGCUAAAUACUCCCGAGAGACCGAUAGCGAACCAGUACUGUGAAGGAAAGGUGAAAAGCACUUCGAAUAGAAGAGUGAAAUAGUCCCUGAAACCAUGCGCCUACAAGCGGUCGGAGCAGCUUAAGUUGUGACGGCGUGCCUUUUGCAUAAUGAACCUACGAGUUACUUUUUCCGGCAAGGUUAAGCAUCUUGAGAUGUGGAUCCGAAGCGAAAGCGAGUCUGAACAGGGCGGAUAGUCGGAAGGAGUAGACGCGAAACCAAGUGAUCUACCCUUGGGCAGGUUGAAGGUUAGGUAACACUAACUGGAGGACCGAACCGAUAAGCGUUGAAAAGCUUCCGGAUGACCUGAGGGUGGGGGUGAAAGGCUAAUCAAACUUGGAGAUAGCUCGUACUCCCCGAAAUGCAUUUAGGUGCAGCCUUGCGGGUUACUGAUGUGAGGUAGAGCGACUGAUAAGAUGCGAGGGCUUCACCGCCUAUCAAGUCUUGAUAAACUCCGAAUGCGCAUUAGUUCUAUCUCAGGAGUGAGGGCAUGGGUGCUAAGGUCCAUGUCCUAAAGGAGAAGAAUCCAGACCAUCAGCUAAGGUCCCCAAAUAAACACUAAGUUGAACUAACGAAGUCAGAUUGCUAAGACAGCUAGGAUGUUGGCUUGGAAGCAGCCAUUCAUUUAAAGAGUGCGUAACAGCUCACUAGUCGAGGAGUUUGGCGUGGAUAAUAAUCGGGCAUUAAGUGUUUUACCGAAGCUAUGGGAUACGUAAGUAUCGGUAGGGGAGCAUUCCACUCAGCGUUGAAGGCGAAGCGUGAGCUUUACUGGAGCGUGUGGAAAAGCAAAUGUAGGUAUAAGUAACGAUAAAGGGGGUGAGAAACCCCCUCGCCGCAAGACUAAGGUUUCCUGAUCAACGCUAAUCGGAUCAGGGUUAGUCGGGUCCUAAGGCUCAGCCGAACGGUGAGGCCGAUGGCAGAACAGGUUAAUAUUCCUGUACUACCUAUAAGAGUGAUGUGGAGACGGAGGAGUGACAACGCCGCGGACUGACGGAAUAGUCCGUUAAAGGGUGUAGAUGUUGAUUAUCCCAGGCAAAUCCGGGAUAAGAGUCGAACCUGAUAGUAUACCAAUUUCCUCGGAAAACGGUAAUAGUGCGUGUAAACAUACUCCCAAGAAAAUCCGCUAAACUUAAUCUUAUAGGUACCCGUACCGUAAACGGACACACGUAGUCGGGUUGAAUAUACUCAGGCGCUUGAGUGAAUCACGGUUAAGGAACUAGGCAAAUUGACCCUGUAACUUCGGGAUAAAGGGUCCCUACCCGGUGACGGGAGGGCGCAGAGAAUAGGUCCAGGCAACUGUUUAACAAAAACACAGGGCUGUGCAAAAUUGAAAGAUCACGUAUACAGCCUGACACCUGCCCGGUGCUGGAAGGUUAAGAGGAGAUGUCAUCGCAAGAGAAGCAUUGAAUUGAAGCCCCAGUAAACGGCGGCCGUAACUAUAACGGUCCUAAGGUAGCGAAAUUCCUUGUCGGGUAAGUUCCGACCUGCACGAAUGGUGUAAUGAUCUGGACGCUGUCUCAACCGUGAGCUCAGUGAAAUUGUAGUAUCGGUGAAGAUGCCGAUUACCCGCGAUGGGACGAAAAGACCCCGUGAACCUUUACUAUAGCUUAACAUUGAAUUUGGGUAAUUGAUGUGUAGGAUAGGCCGGAGACUUUGAAGCAGGCACGCCAGUGUUUGUGGAGUCGCUGUUGAAAUACGGCCCUUUGGUUAUUUGAGUUCUAACUCGCUGAUGCGAGGACACUGUUUGGUGGGUAGUUUGACUGGGGUGGUCGCCUCCAAAAGCGUAACGGAGGCUUCU
rnacentral:rRNA from 1 species